GAUGAACGCUGGCGGCGUGCUUAACACAUGCAAGUCGAACGGAAAGGCCCAAGCUUGCUUGGGUACUCGAGUGGCGAACGGGUGAGUAACACGUGGGUGAUCUGCCCUGCACUUCGGGAUAAGCCUUGGAAACUGGGUCUAAUACCGGAUAGGACGAUGGUUUGGAUGCCAUUGUGGAAAGUUUUUUCGGUGUGGGAUGAGCUCGCGGCCUAUCAGCUUGUUGGUGGGGUAAUGGCCUACCAAGGCGUCGACGGGUAGCCGGCCUGAGAGGGUGUACGGCCACAUUGGGACUGAGAUACGGCCCAGACUCCUACGGGAGGCAGAAGUGGGGAAUAUUGAACAAUGGGCGCAAGCCUGAUGCAGCGACGCCGCGUGGGGGAUGACGGCCUUCGGGUUGUAAACUCCUUUCGCUAGGGACGAAGCGUUUUUGUGACGGUACCUGGAGAAGAAGCACCGGCUAACUACGUG
rnacentral:rRNA from 1 species